AUUGAACGCUGGCGGAAUGCUUUACACAUGCAAGUCGAGCGGCAGCGCGGGGCAACCUGGCGGCGAGCGGCGAACGGGUGAGUAACACAUCGGAACGUGCCCAGACGUGGGGGAUAGCCCGGCGAAAGCCGGAUUAAUACCGCAUACGAUCUAAGGAUGAAAGCGGGGGACUCGCAAGGGCCUCGCGCGUUUGGAGCGGCCGAUGGCAGAUUAGGUAGUUGGUGGGGUAAAGGCUUACCAAGCCUGCGAUCUGUAGCUGGUCUGAGAGGAUGAUCAGCCACACUGGGACUGAGACACGGCCCAGACUCCUACGGGAGGCAGCAGUGGGGAAUUUUGGACAAUGGGCGCAAGCCUGAUCCAGCCAUUCCGCGUGCAGGACGAAGGCCUCGGUUGUAACGUAGCUUUGUUACGGUAACGAAAAGGUACGUUCUUCUAAUACUAGAGGGACCGACUGACGGUACCGGUAACGGUAAUAAGACACCGGCCGUAACUACGUACGUCCACGACAGCCGACC
rnacentral:rRNA from 1 species